rnacentral:rRNA from 1 species
UACGUAGGGUGCAAGCGUUAAUCGGAAUUACUGGGCGUAAAGCGUGCGCAGGCGGCUAUGCAAGACAGAUGUGAAAUCCCCGGGCUCAACCUGGGAACUGCAUUUGUGACUGCAUGGCUAGAGUACGGCAGAGGGGGAUGGAAUUCCGCGUGUAGCAGUGAAAUGCGUAGAUAUGCGGAGGAACACCGAUGGCGAAGGCAAUCCCCGUGGGCCUGUACUGACGCUCAUGCACGAAAGCGUGGGGAGCAAACAGG